rnacentral:misc_RNA from 1 species
UUUUUGACCAAAACUUCACUUAUUCAAAAGAAAGAAAGACAUGAUAGAGAGAGCAACUAGAACAAGAAAAGGAAGGGACAAGUAUAGGGCUUAUGGACAUGAGAGGGGAAUAUGGAAGAAUGCCAUUGCUCUGAAAUCAAUUAAAAAAACUUGGGGAUUUUGCAAGCAAUUCAAGAGUUUUUCUCAUUGUGAUAUUUUCAAAAAAUUCACCAAUUAUUUUCUUAAACAUUAUUGUAAUGCGAAGAAAAAAAAAACCAUAAAGUCAAAUCUGCCUAAUAAGUUCAAUGCAAUUGCAGUGACAGGUGCCAAAACUG